UCAGUCUCCUUCAUCUUCUCGUCCAAGAC
rnacentral:sRNA from 1 species